GAGAGAGAGAGAGAGAGAGAGAGAUAGAACCGUACCAAGCACUCCAACGACAAUUUCUUUUGGUUAAAGUUUAGCUAGAAAUUUCCCUUCAACCAAUCCCAGCACGCCACAUAGGUCUGGGUAUAGGCUCGUCCUUAUUUCUUUGUAGACGUCGCCGUUCCAUUUCCUUGAUGCCAACUCCUCCCCCAGGCGCGUCGCAGCCUCAGCCAAGCUUCCUUCACUGUCGUACGCCGCAUCUACGAUUCCCAUCCUCACCGCUUGCUCCCCUUUCAUCUUGGCACCUCCCAGGAGGACAUCCCGCCGAGCAGAAAUCGCGUGGAGUUUAGCUCGAAAAACAGCCGCGAAAUAAUCCGGCAACCGAAGCCCUAAGUCAACCUCACUCAUAUACAACACGCCUUUAUCACUCCUCAUGAGGAUGUAGUCGUGGCUUAAAGCCAAUAAGAAUCCAGCGGCCGCGGCAUGGCCCUGGAUGGCUGCCACCGUGGGCAUAGGGAGGGAUAUCAACUCAGCGACGACCGGCUUGAAGGAGACGACCAUGUGGUGGAGGCGUUCCAUGGCUUUAGAACUGGAUCCAGCGGCUUUGGCCCAGGCAAGAUCGAAGCCAUUGGAGAAGAACUUGCCUUGGGAUGUGGUGAUAAGAACUGAGCCGCGAGUGGCCUUGGAUUUGACUUCGCAGAGAGCCGAUAGCACCGAAUCUAUGAGAGUAGGGCUCAGCCUAUGCUCCCCGUCACCGAUGAAUGUCAAAAUGAAUAAACUGCCUCGCUUCUCUAACGUGCACAUUGUCGGCGAUGGGGUGAAGGUUAAGAUAAGAAGCCAACGUCCUUUUGGUGCGCGUGUGAAAGUGUGAAGUACAACUUAAAUAGGAAAAUUCGUUGCUUUGUCCAAAAUGUGAAAGAGUACUCAGUCGGGCCCCUCCAUGUUGCAUAAAACUCAUUCUUAAUAAUUUUGUUUUAAAGACACUCGCACGCUGAUAAAAACAGGAAUUCACCGCUGAUAAAAUUAUGAUAAUUGUAAUCAGGUCUUUAUUACGCGUGUUUAGAUUAUAUUCUUAAUAAUUUGAGAUAUAAUAAAAA
rnacentral:misc_RNA from 1 species